CACACAUCCGAACACACACAGACACACACACAGGUCCACAAGGAAGGGGAAAGUCAGCCUGUCAGGAACCAUGACAUGAAACGGUAUGAUGUGUAAGUUUACACCACACAGUUGAAGUGGAUUCAUCUCCAAGCCUCAGUGACGUUCUAGAGAACUAAAACAGAUCGGCUUGUAUUGUUUCCAUCCUCAAACACCAUCCAGAGCCUCUGAAGCCCUGAGUCUUCCCAAGUUUUUUUUAGACCUUGUGAAGCUAAAAGACAUUCUUGGACGUUUCAUGAUGUUGGCGGCAGAACACACACACUUCUUCAGGCUGCUGUGGCAGUGGAUUACAUCCAUUCAGUCGCGGAGUCAAUUAAAGCCUGUUAAAGUCAGCGCAGGCUUUGUUUACACAUUAUGGGAACUCUGUGAAGUGGGAGGAGAAGAAACAAUCUAAUGAAUGCCUUUUCAAAAGGUUAUUUAAGGCUUGUGUGUGUGUGUGUGUGUGUGUGUGUGUGUGUGUGUGUGUGUGUGUGUGUGUGUAGGAUUAAAGAAUGUCCUCAAACCCUGGAUCUUUAGGUUAAGCUCGUAUCCAAUACGUUUGAUCUAUGUUAAAGCAUCUUUAAGAAACUAUGUGAAUAAUAAUUAAAUGUUAUAUCUGUAAUUUAAAUAGCAAAUUAUAGAACUUCAUAUGACUUAUAAAUAUAUUUUUAAAAAAUCCUAUACCAAUCUUCACUAUCAAACUCCAGAAAAGAGUGCAAAAUUUUAAAAUUUAUUUAAUAACAGAGAUGACAGGAAAUGUGUACAAUUCAUAAUGUCCCAUAACAUCCCAAAGGUUAAUACACUUGAUAUACAAUGAUAUAAUCUUAUAUACAUUUAAUCAUUUAUAUAAAAUGCGCUUUAAAAUGCAGUGUAUAAAUAUCUAUGCUAUGAAUCGUGUGAGAAACAAGUUUUGUACUUGACGUUCCGGAGUCUGGGCUAUUGGGAGGGGGAGGGAGAAGUGACGAUUGGGUUCAAAUCUUCUUCAUCCUCAUCCUCAGUCUCUAACUAGAUUCUUGAAAUUAAACAACUAAAACCAAACACAAUCAUUAAAAGCUCAAGUGCGACUGUGACAGUUCUUGAUGCAUGACGCCUGUAAAAUCACUCCAAACAAGGACAUAAAAUGUCACGUAAAAGUAUGAGCCAUAAAUACUCGUGAUGCAGUGCGAGUGCUUUUUAACCAUCCCAAGUCAUUUUUUUGUACCAAUCAAAUGAAUGUGAGGACUGCCCAUGGGAGGGGCGACAUGACAUUUUCCCCGGCCGAGAGUAAACAGGUCACGGACCCUCCAUACACACCAUGGCGGUGGGAGGGAGAACUUUACCGCACCGUGUAACCGAAUCAAACCAGUGGUUGCCCCUUUUCAGCCCGCUGGAAUAGCCAUAACAAUACCAUUCAGAGGCGAGCAGAGAAGACAUGCUCCUUUCAGACGCCUUGAGAGAAAGGCUUUCAUCCGCUGGAGCAGCUUUGUCGCCUUUGAGGGACGAAAAAGAAAGCUCUUUAUGAUCUCCCCAAAGCUGUUUGUUUUCUUUCACCUUAUUUCUAGUUUUUCUUCUUAGGACAGGCUCGAAGGCCGGAGCAUCAGAGAAGCUCGAUUCUGGGAGGAGAGUUUUGAGAUGCGAGGGAGUGCUAGGCGUCGUCAGUGCCCCGGUGCUGACCUAGGCCUUUCAGGGUGCUUGAACACAUCAGAAUUGCCAUUGUUGAGGUUGAUUAAUUGAGUCUGAUAAGUUACCAUGAAUGAAGAUUGUUAUAGAGUUUAAUGUGUUGGGCCUGGGUUUGUAAAUGCCCCUUUCACGUUGCUCCACGGCCAAGCAUAUGGGCCAGACGUAUUCAUGGUUUCAAAAAAAAAAAAAGAAGGACAAAAUUUAUGGCUGUGUGUCUUAGCGUUUUUUUUUCUUCUCUCCUUUUGAUCAUUUGCAGAGUGACUUUUGUAGCUUUCAAGCACUAGUCCAAUAAAAGAGAAUACUUUUGUGAAAGUGACAGUUAAAUAGCACUAACAGCGUCUGCUUCCAACAUUUUAGCUGCUUUGUCACGUUUCGGAACAUGGCUGGAAUAGUUGAAUGUGUUGCAAACAGAAAGUUAAAACAGAUGAUGUUUAAUAUAUUUAAUCUAUAGGGAUUAAAAAAUAUAAAUGAAAAUCAAGGUCCUAAAUAUCUCUGCAGACUUGACACAUUUUAGGUUCCCUUAUAAAAUAAAAUUUUAAAUAAGAGUGGUUCGAAAGAGUUAGAGAAAGUGUGUGAAAGUGGGUAAGAGGGUGUGUGAGAGUGAGAGAGGAUGUGUGAAAGCGAGUGAGAGAGUGUGCUAAAGUGUGUGUGAGGGGGUAAGAUUGUUUGAGGGGUGUGUGAGAAAGUGAGCGAGAGUCUGUGAAAGAGUGAGAGAAAGUGAGAGAUUGGAAAAGAGUAUGUGAGAGAGUGAGAGGGUAUGUGAGAGAGAGUGGGCAAAAGUGUGUGAGUGAUUGAGAGAGUGUGUGAGCACUACAUCGAUGAUCACCUGAGAUUACUACGAGGACUGAUUAAACCUAAUCUGGCGAUUGACCACAUCGUUCUGUCCCUGUGUUAGUACUUGUGCCUUAUCUGCAGCGUCUCAAUUACCAUGUGUCAACGAUGACAUAUAGGCUGCAUUCCCAUAGAUUUGUGUAAAGGUUAGUGACCAGACCAGUGGCUAUUUACCCCUCCUCCUUCCUUUCACCCCAGUCCUCAGGCACGCUGCUGGUUAGCCAUGCUGACCCACUGACACUUACACAACUUCAUUAGAACAUCAUACGCAGUUCAUAAGUUACACAUUUGGGAUACAAUUCAAAGCCUUUUUUAUGAUCAAGUACUAAUUUUCAAGAAUGAUAUAAUGCUAUAUAUGAACUAUAUGUAUGAUUUACACAAAAUCUAAAGAAAAUGUCAGAUCUUGAAACUAAGUGCUUUUAAAAUUUCCCUUAUUUUUUUGACAUUAUCGCCCAACCUUAACACCUGAACCUUAUCACCUGGAGUCACUGAAAUUCAUUUUAUAAUUCUCGUUAUUCUUUGAUAUUAUGACUAAAUAUAAUUAAAAUAUCCUAAGCCUUUGCACUUCA